rnacentral:rRNA from 1 species
UGAAAUUACGCCUUCCAUGAAGCUGGAAUUGCUAGUAAUGGCAGGUCAGCAUACUGCCGUGAAUACGUUCCCGGGCCUUGUACACACCGCCCGUCACACCAUGAGAGUUGGAAAUACCCGAAGCCUGUGAGCUAACAGUAAUGAGGCAGCAGUCGAAGGUAGAGCCAAUGAUUGGGGUGAAGUCGUAACAAGGUACC